AUUGAACGCUGGCGGAAUGCUUUACACAUGCAAGUCGAACGGCAGCACGGGGGCAACCCUGGUGGCGAGUGGCGAACGGGUGAGUAAUACAUCGGAACGUGCCCAGUCGUGGGGGAUAACGUAGCGAAAGUUACGCUAAUACCGCAUACGAUCUACGGAUGAAAGCGGGGGACCGUAAGGCCUCGCGCGAUUGGAGCGGCCGAUGUCAGAUUAGGUAGUUGGUGAGGUAAAGGCUCACCAAGCCGACGAUCUGUAGCUGGUCUGAGAGGACGACCAGCCACACUGGGACUGAGACACGGCCCAAACUCCGACGGGAGGCAGCAGUGGGGAAUUUUGGGCAAUGGGCGCAAGCCUGAUCCAGCCAUUCCGCGUGCAGGACGAAGGCCUUCGGGUUGUAAACUGCUUUUGUACGGAACGAAAAGGCUCUGGUUAAUACCUGGGGCUCAUGACGGUACCGUAAGAAUAAGCACCGGCUAACUACGUGCCAGCAGCCACAGUAA
rnacentral:rRNA from 1 species